rnacentral:snRNA from 1 species
GUUUUCUUCCAAAAGUACAUAUACUAAAAUUGGAAAGAUACAGAGAAGAUUAGCAUGGCCCCUGCGCA